GCGGCCUGCACUCUGUGUCCCUACGAGAUGCCCACCCGGGAGAUUGAGUCUGCCUUGAGAGGGCGGGGCGACGGGACAGGAAGCUAACAAAAUUUCAAAGAUAAACUUUUAAAGGUCUACUUAAAGUGCAUUCUGAUUAGUUCUAAAAAUGUGCUACUUUUGAUAGUUUGAAGAUUGUUCUUUGGGAAUGUAUUGAGGAUCAACUUAGAAGAAGGUAGAUUUGUGGAUUUUACUAGAUGAUGAUCAGUGACUGAGCCCAGCUAGAACACAGAGCUGCUGAUGAACUUCUGGUGUUGGCAGGCAAUGUUAUGGAAUCUAGAGCACCUAGCAUCUCUCCUGCUCCAUAACAAGUUUGCCACAGAGUUUGUUGCACACGGUGGAGUACAGAAAUUAUUGGAAAUUCCUCGUCCGUCUAUGGCUGCUACUGGGGUGUCCAUGUGCUUGUACUACCUGUCCUACAA